rnacentral:misc_RNA from 1 species
AGCAGCCGCGGUAAUUCCAGCUCCAAUAGCGUAUAUUAAAGUUGUUGCAGUUAAAAGCUCGUAGUUGAAUUUCGGGAUUGACACAUCGGUCGUGCCUUAAGGGUAUGAACUGGUGUAGUCAAUUUCUCACCUUCUGGAGAACCGCGAUGCCCUUAAUUGGGUGUCGCGGGGAACCAGGACCUUUACUUUGAAAAAUUAGAGUGUUUAAAGCAGGCAUUUUGCUUGAAUACAUUAGCAUGGAAUAAUAAAAUAGGACGGCAUGAUUCUAUUUUGUUGGUUUCUAGGAUCACCGUAAUGAUUAAUAGGGAUGGUUGGGGGCAUUAGUAUUCAAUUGUCAGAGGUGAAAUUCUUGGAUUUAUUGAAGACUAACCACUGCGAAAGCAUUUGCCAAGGAUGUUUUCAUUAAUCAAGAACGAAGUUAGGGAUCGAAGACGAUCAG